rnacentral:tRNA from 1 species
UAGCUCAGAUGGUAAAGCAUCUGCCUGCAAUGCAGGAGACCUGGGUUCGAUCCUCGG